GACGAACGCUGGCGGCAGGCUUAACACAUGCAAGUCGAACGCUCUCUUCGGAGAGAGUGGCAGACGGGUGAGUAACGCGUGGGAAUCUACCCAGUACUACGGAACAACAGUUAGAAAUGACUGCUAAUACCGUAUACGCCCUCCGGGGGAAAGAUUUAUCGGUAUUGGAUGAGCCCGCGUUUGAUUAGCUAGUUGGUGAGGUAAUGGCUCACCAAGGCGACGAUCAAUAGCUGGUCUGAGAGGAUGAUCAGCCACACUGGGACUGAGACACGGCCCAGACUCCUACGGGAGGCAGCAGUGGGAAUAUUGGACAAUGGGCGCAAGCCUGAUCCAGCCAUGCCGCGUGUGUGAUGAAGGCCUGGGUUGUAA
rnacentral:rRNA from 1 species